AGGCGCUAGCUACAGACAACACCAGGUUUCAGACGCUAGCUACAGGCAACACCAGGUUUCAGACGCUAGCUACAGACAACACCAGGUUUCAGACGCUAGCUACAGACAACACCAGGUUUCAGACGCUAGCUACAGGCAACACCAGGUUUCAGACGCUAGCUACAGGCAACACCAGGUUUCAGACGCUAGCUACAGGCAACACCAGGUUUCAGACGCUAGCUACAGGCAACACCAGGUUUCAGACGCUAGCUACAGGCAACACCAGGUUUCAGACGCUAGCUACAGGCAACACCAGGUUUCAGACGCUAGCUACAGGCAACACCAGGUUUCAGACGCUAGCUACAGACAACACCAGGUUUCAGACGCUAGCUACAGGCAACACCAGGUUUCAGACGCUAGCUACAGGCAACACCAGGUUUCAGACGCUAGCUACAGGCAACACCAGGUUUCAGACGCUAGCUACAGGCAACACCAGGUUUCAGACGCUAGCUACAGGCAACACCAGGUUUCAGACGCUAGCUACAGACAACACCAGGUUUCAGACGCUAGCUACAGGCAACACCAGGUUUCAGACGCUAGCUACAGGCAACACCAGGUUCAGGACGCUAGCUACAGGCAACACCAGGUUUCAGACGCUAGCUACAGGCAACACCAGGUUUCAGACGCUAGCUACAGGCAACACCAGGU